UUAAAGCUGCAACAAACAGCCGGCUGAUGCAAACAGAAGAACCUAGCUAUUCAGCUCACAAACAAAAGAGAGAGAAUCUCACAGCCCCUUCUUGCACAUUUUUGGAGGAAUCUAUCAGCUUUCUAUAGGGGUGCACACUGGGCUCUCAAGAUCCUGAAUGUUGUGUCUGGGAUUGGCAUGCAACAGGCACAGACAGCAACGCUUACGUGGCUGGGUUCUGGUUGAUGGUCUUAAUAAACAUGGACACACUGAGUGGACUGCAGGUCAACAGUGUUUGGAUUCAACAGUUACACAGAUGGAUUGAAGUACAAGUUGGUGUUCAGCAAGAAUUUUCAGGACGAAAUACAACUAAAGUGGCACCAAAAUCCUCAGUCUGACAUUACUAUUGCUGUACAUCAUCAUCAAAAGCAGCUCUUCAACAGAGGGUGCUAGGGUGCUGCCCUACCACACAUUUGUCACCACAUUCCUUGAAAACAAUAAAUAAAUAAAAACAUCCAAAGUCAAAUCAAAUAUAUUUCAAAAUAUAUGUACAGUAAUCCCCCGCUAUAUCAAGAUUCAUGCAUCGUCGUCCUGCUAUAUCGCAGAUUAUUUUUUUGGAAGUGUUUUUUUGUGUGUGUGUUAUCCUUUGCUCUUGCUCUCUCUCAAUAUAUUAUAUGUGUUUCAAUGUGUUUUUAAAAAAUGAAGUGACAUAAAUGCUAUAAAAAUUGUCUGUGUUUUAGUUUAGAUUCUAUUUAAUAUUGUUUCAUGUUUUCCUGUGUCCCAUGUUAUUCAUGUUUUGUGUGCUCAUUUAGUUAUUGUGUCCAUCUGUUGCCUCUACCUUGUGUCAACCAAUCAGCACCCUCGAGCCACUCGUGCUUUUUCUCGCUGCUUCCCUGCACUUGGGCCCUCCACCUUCUUGUCUGUGAAAUCCCGAACAUGACACAAUGCAGCAACCAAUAAAGGACCCAGUGGGAAGCACAAGGCGUCCGGGAUGCCACAGGUCUGCCUCCCAGCGCCAUCAGCCUGCUGACCAAACAUACCCUCCUCCAGUAAGCCCUAUUGUUUUGUUUUUCUCUGUCCUUUUCACCAGUGUCCCCCACUUGUCCUAGUCAUUCACCAAGCCUCAUUUUUAUUUUAUUUUUAUUCAGAUUCAUCCGAUUAUGAAGCUGCCGCAGAUUCGGUUAACCUUAUUUCUGACAUGGAUUCGGACUCCGAUUUUGAUUUUUACGGUUCUUUCAUCUAGUCAUUUUUCUCGUCCUAGUCAAUUUUUGUCACGUUUUCCCUUUUCUGAUCCGUAUGAGUUCACAUCCAAGUCCUUUCCUUCCAACCUAUGCUUGGCCAUCUAUCCGGGACCUCCGCGUGGUGGUCAACAGAGGCACCCAAGUAAAGGUGAAGGUUUGCUGUUACGUCAUCCCAAUUCUAAGCCACGUCAUUUGUCACCUGUUUCCACACCAAGACACGUCCGUCCAAACCUGCCCCCAAGUCACCUCGUUCCAUACCUACUUCAUCACCUUGUCUCGUACUACUCAUGUUUCCUAGUUCACCUUCCUGAGUUUCUGUGCACGCUGCCCCUCUUGUAUCCUGUCCUCCCAAACCUCUAUGGCAGGCUGAAAAAGCAACUGCAGACCCCAUACCUGCUUCUCACCAGCUGCAGCAGGCCCCCGUUCCUGCUCCUCGGCAGCUGCAGCAGGCCCCUUGUUCCUGCUCCUCGGCAGCUACAGGCUCCAGCAGCGUACACUGACCUUGCGCCAACGGCGCCCGUCCAGCAGCCGCCACCCGACCAUGCUGCGGUGGCUCUUGUCUAGCAGCCGUCACCCAACUCUCUUGCCUGGCCCCUGCAUUGCUCUUGCAUCUGGUAUCAUGGCCGUCACCUGAACAGCCCAUUAGAAACCCUUGUGCUUCGUGUCCUGAUCUCCUGAAUGGCCCAGCCAACCACCGCACGUCUGGUGGCCUGGACGGCCACCAUUGUGCCCACCUGUUCUCAUCAACACUCUACCUUGUGUCAAACAAUCAGCUCUCUCCAGCCAAUCGUGCCUUGUCCAGGUGUUCCUCGUUGUCUUGUCAAUUUGUUUGUAUUUCGUUCCCUGCUUUCUUUCAGUCUGUGUUGCCACUUCGUUGUCGGUUGUAUGUCGUCUGUUGCUGUAAGCCAUGUUUCCGAAGUCAUGUUAUGUUUUGAUGAGUUUAUCCCUUGUUUAUUUGUUACCUGGAACCUAGCUUUUUGAACUUUGUUAAUUUAGCUUUUUCUGCCCACAUGAUCCUUGUUUGCCUUUGUUUUUGGAAUUCAAAAUUAUUUUGAGAUUCUUGCACUCCUGCCUUGCCUCCCAGCUUCCCUGCACUUGGGCCCUCCACCUUCUUGUCUCCAACACUGUGAAAACCCGAAGGUGGCAAAAAAAACAUGCCGAGAAUACUCAAAUAGGGUAUUUCAACUGUAUAUUACAGAUUUGACUUAUUGCGGGGGUAGUUUGGAACGUAACCCCAGCGAUGGAGGUGGGAUUCUAUUUUUCUAUGAGCGGGGUAAAUAAUAUAUAGGUCAUGAGUAAAAUUGUUUCAUUCAUCUCUCUUGUCAGUUUUAGUGACGCAACAACUGCUCUGGGACACAGAUAUCUUUCCCCAUUGACCCUUGUUAAAAGUUUGACAUGCGCAGUUGGGUCCUCUGCAAUGCAAAAGAUUGGACAGAGGUAGGGCACUAUAUUCUAUAUCUUUUUUUGUGGGACACAAAAUAACGUUUGUGGGAUUUGUCCUCAUCCUUUUGUCUGUGGUGUCCGUUUAUACAGAAUAUUGCAGUCUCAUAAUGAGCCAAGGAGGCUGUGACUUAAAUAUCUAACAGAAAAUACAGAAAUAAGGCCCGAGGCAUCCUCCAAAUUAUUGUAUGAUGAAAAAAGACUGUAGGAUAUUGUUGCUAAUAGCUACAGUAGCACCCAAAGAAAGUAUCCACACAGGCAUAUUCAUAUGUUAGAGGGCUAUGGCCAGUCAGCCACAUAAUAGAAAAAUCAUUGUCACUCAUCCUCUGCUAUUCAUACAGCUGUUACUCCAUUUAAAAAUUAAAAAGAAUAUAAAGCGCCUUUAUCCAGUUUUGUCCUUUUCUCUCCUUGUCAUCUUCAUCUCUUUUCUUCUGUUCUGCUCUUUGUUUCCGCUCUUCCUCUCUCAGAUGUGUCCUUGGUCAUCCCCCAUUAUUCCUUCAUCAUGAAGCAUUGUAUGUGUUUGGCAACCAACUCUUUCAAUGUGUCUUCCUCACUGCCAAGCACACUUUGUCCUGUGAUUUUCAAAGAUGAAAAGAGUGCUUUUCACGUGCCAGAAUAUAUCCCACAACGAACGAUGAAACUGAUCAACUUUUGGCUCUUUGUAAAAUAUUUUCUAUAGAUAUGAAAAUGUCUUUGGUUUAUGCAAGCAAGUAAAACUUUUCAAGCAUGUUAAUAAUGGUCCAUUUAAACUCAGGAGUUUGAGAGAGAAACUACACGACUUUAUGUGGAGACAAGUAUUGUGACAUGCCUAUCAAUCAAUUUUUUUUUCACUUUACCUGAACAAUCAUUUAAUUCUUUAGCAUACCAUUACAUUUUGGACUUUGCAUGCUUCCUACUCUAUUGGAAUACGAUAGUUUGCAGAAGGCAUAGUUGGUUGAGUUUGGUCUAGAGCAUGACGGGUCUACGCAAACCUCUGACCUUCAUCCAAUCUAACGCCUAUGGGACAUGUGACACCCCAAAUUCUUGUAUCGUAUAAAGUCUUGCUAUAAAAGGGCACCAAAUCUAUAUUUCCUGCAGUCUUAAUGGUCAGAUGUCUCAAUCAUUUUGUCCAUACAGCACAACAGCAGUGUUUUGUAAGCUUCAAUCCUUUUUUACCAGUAGUGGGAUGGUAAUUUAAAUAAUUUACAGUAUAUUUCUGUAUGCAAUGGAGAGUUAUAGAGAAGAAAGCUGUGAGGGUCUUAACAAGUGCAACAAUCAAAAAUCACCUCCUAAUCCAGUGAAAAUAAAACUGUUUUUUGUAUUCAUAUCUGUCUUCAUCUUAUUUUUCUUCAUGCUAUCUCACUCUUCAUUCAUAAGACUUCCUGUGAAAUGCAAAGAAGCCCGACAUCCAACCCAUCCCCCCUUUUGUUGUAUGCAUUCCUUUAUUUUUUUCAUAAGCACACCUUGUCACACUAGUGGCAUAUUUUCAAUCAUUAUUAGAAUUCCGGCAGCUCAAGGCUCACAGGCUUUAACCUCUGGUAUCUUUGGUGUGUGAUAAAAGCCGAAUGAACCAUCAAUCUUUAUUGUCUGGCCUGCAGACUGUAAUUGCAUUCAAUAGUCCACUGAUUCUCUUGUCUGCUAAUGUCGGAGAGCAGAGAGGAGCCAGAUGCUCUGACUGCAUCAUGCGCUCACACAUGCACACAGUUCAAGCCUUUAUAUUCAGGUGGGGGGGGACAGCUCACACUGAAUACAUUUAUUCGGAAUAGGCACAGCAACACAUAUGACACACAUAGGCGGUAGGCAGUCCCCCCCACCCACUUCUGGUUGAUAAACUGUUGACAGUAUAGAUUAUGAGCAGCUGUGCUUUGGGUGUGAAUGCAGAAGAUUCAUCCAUUAGUUCACCAGUCAGAUUGUGCUUAUACAAUAUGUACUGUGGCUGAAUUUACUGUAUGUUUGUGUCACUGAUGACUGCUAGCCCUGUACCACGAAAUGUGGGGCAGAAGUCCUGCGGGAUCAUUAAUGACUCAGUCAGAUAGUAAAAUCCGACAGCCAUAAAAGUAAAAACAAAAAAUAAAUACAAGCUAACUAUGUUUUGGAUUUUGAUUCUUUAAAGACAUGAUUAAACCAUGGUCAACUUAUAUCAGAAUGACGGCAAGAGUGGAGUGCGGAGAAGAAACAGGUCAUGAUCCAAAGGAUACAUUUUCAUGUGUCAAACAUGGUGUUGGCAGUGUUGAAACAUGGGAAAGUUCGCCUGCUAAAGGAAUGGGCUCCCUGGUGUUUAUUGUUGAUGUGACUCCUAACAGAGGUCAGAAGAAUGUGUCAGGGCUAUACUCUCUGCUCACAUUCAGCCAAAUGCUAUAAAACUGAUCAGAUGGAUGGCCAUACUAUAAGAGAAACUAAACUCAUUUUGAAGGUUGGAAUAUUCUUCAGUCACCUGAUCUCAACCAAUUGCGGACUGCUUUUCACACUGCUCUCUUCUGUGAGUGUGGGUAAGGUUAUCUUUGUGCUUUUCACGCUAUUCUUUAAUUUUCCUCACAAACAGGAAGUUUGAGCUGAGAGACAAUGACAAAGAUGACCCUUUACUGAACAUGAAUGUACUAUUUAAUUUAUAACAGUCAAGUUGAUCCGUAGUCUACAGCAUAGGUGUCAAACUCAAGGCCCGGGGGCCAGAUGCGGCCCGCCACAUCAUUUUAUCUGGCCCGCGAAAGCAAAUCAUGCUCGUCAACUUCCGUGAUUUUUACUAAAAUCUGUACCCAAAUUCCAAAUUGUCAUAAUAAUAAACAAUAAGGUUGAGAUAUUGCAUUUUUCUGUUACCAAACCCUUCUUAAACAAUAACUUAAACAAUAC